AGGACGUAACAAUAUAUAUAUAACUGCUUCUUAUUUGCAUCCGCCACAUUGGUGACCCCGAUGUGAUCGGGAACGCGAAGCUCAAGCUAAAAUCAGCUCGAACCGAGAGAGAACGUUACGUCGUUUCACGAGUGCUAGUGUGCCACACGAGGCCGAGAAAAUGCCGUUGGAUCAUUUACCAAACCGAGGGUCGAACCAGGCAAAUCUCGGGGAUGAAGCCCAAGGUUUGCGAACCGAGAAUGCCCAAGGCCAGCAGCUUCUCAAUUCAGGCAGCCAAGAAUAAUUUGCUGGGACUCAGAACGUGACGACCAUUUCCCAAAGCUACCGUCAUUUUGCAAGCAAAACCCUCGUCUUUGGUUUGCCCAAGUGGAAAUGGCAUUCCUGACCAACGGAAUCACUACAGACAUCAGCAAAUUCGGCUACGUGGCCAUCCACCUUUCCGGUGACGUACUCGCUGUCUCGGAUAUAAUUCUAACCCCACGGAAGGAAAAUACGAGGCGCUCAAGAGGAGAAUCAACACAGCUUUUGACGAAGGAGAUGAGAGAAGACUUCAUCGCCUCUUACAAAGUAACGAGAUAGCCGACGAGAGGUCCACAGCGUACCUACACCGCCUCCAAAACUUGGCCGGAGGUCAGUGCAAUGAUCCUGUCCUGCGCACAAAUUUCCUGGAACAGCUUCCCGAGCAAGUGCGUGCAAUUCUGGUCGCCUCAGACAUACGCGAUCUUGGACUAGUCGAAAUGGCAGACCGCGCGGUGGACGCCACCAGACCCACUUCAGUGAACGCAGUGGCGAUCUUGGACAACUCACCGAAAACCGAAUCACAAGUUUUCCCGGAUGACGUUCAGUCUAUGCAACGCCGCACAAUCCUUCCAGAGGCUGAUGGACACAAUUUUCAGAGGUCUGAAAUUCGUCUUUUGCUACAUAGACGACAUAUUAAUCGCCUCGACUACACUACAACACAAGGUGCACCUUCGCAUAAUCCUGGAAAGACUACUGGAGAGACCACGGACUGUCUAUAAACAUUUUAAAAUGUGUAUUUGGCGCACCUGAAGUCCACUACCUUGAUCAUCUCAUCAUCAAGGACGGAAUAACAGUCUUACAGAAUCGCGUUGCAGCGAUCAAUUCCUGAAAAACGCUGCAGACACUCAAGCGCCGUUACACACACUCACCGCGGGAGCAACCAAGCGUGAUAAUCGUGAAAUAGCCUGGACUCUAGAAGCGGAACAAACAUUCGCAGACUGUAAACGCAAGCUGUUUAACGCAUCACUCCUAGCACACUCAUAUGAAGGAGCACCGUUCGUUCUUUGCACGGACGCUUCCAGCUCAGCAGUCAGCGCUAUUCUCCAACAACUGCAAGAAGGAAAAUGGAUGCCGUUAGGAUUUUACUCUAAGAAGCUUAACGAUGCCCAGCGGAAGUAUAGCACGUACGACCGCGAGCUACUUGUCGUGUACGAAGCAGUAAAGUUUUUCAAACACAUGAUUGAAGACCGUCAAUGCACAAUCGUAACAGAUCACAAGCUAUUAGUAUACGCCUUCGAUCAAAAGCUUGACAAAGCGUCACCUCGACAAUUACGCUACCUUGAUUAUAUAGGCCAAUUUUCCACAAGUUUCACCCACAUCCCAGGCGCAAAAAACGUAACCGCAGACGCACUUUUCCGCAUUUAGGCAAUAAACAUGCCUGUAGUGGUGUCAACGGACGAUUUGGCUAGAGAGCAGCUAACCAAUAAAGAACUUUAGACUCUGCAAACAGAAACCAACCUAAAACUUAACAAACUUUACCUAGAUGACACAGACCAAGCAAUAUAUUGCGAUACAUUUGGAAACGAUGUUCGUCCAUACGUUUCUGCCUCGCUACGACGCACGGUGUUCAACGCAGCCCAUCGCCUAUCGCACCCAGGAGUUCAUGCUACCAGGCAGCUAAUCGCCCGAAGAUUCGUCUGGCCCGGCCUAAACAGUGACGUAGCUCGCUGGAACAAGAUUGUCAAUACGCGAAAAUCCAUCGUCACAAUCAUACCAUCCCAGAUCACAUCAAGGUAUCGAACGCUAGGUUUUACCAAGUCUACCUGGAUAUUGUCGGUCCUCUUCCACCAUUACGCGGAUUCAGGUACUGCCUUGCAGCAAUUGACAGGUUUACACGCUGACCAGAGGCAACCUCUAUAGCUGACAUCACAGCCGACACAGUAGUCAAUGCUUUUUACUCUACAUGGAUCGCACGAUUUGGAGCGCCAGCAGUGAUAACAACAGAUCGUGGAACACAGUUCGAGUCUCAAUUGUUUCAGGCACUAACGACCAUGAUAGGAGCCAAAAGGACCAGGACAACACCUUACCAUCCCGAGUGGAAUGGAGCCAUUGAACGGUUCCACCGCUCAAUGAAGACAGUCAUCUGCUGCUACGCCAAUAGCGAGUGGGUAGACAUCCUACCGAUUGUAUUACUGGGCCUAAGGACAAGCCUAAAGGAGGACAUAAAAAUCAGCACCGCUGAGCUAACUUAUGGAACCCCUAUCCGACUCCCAGGCGAAUUUUUCCUUCACGAAGAAACAACUGCAGAUCCUUACCCGUUCCUUAAAAAACUACGUUGUCAUAUACGAGAAACUCGUCCUUCCCCAACGGCUCACCAUAUAAAACCAAGAGCUUUCAUCCUCAAGGAUUUAAACACGUGCUCGCACUGUCCGAGUAGGCGCAACCCAAAGGUCUUUAGACCAACCGUACGAGGGACCUUUUGAGGUAAUAGAGCGAAGCACCGACCGAGUCUUCAAGGUCAACAUCAGAGGUAAACCAACAACUAUCUCAAUAGAUAGAAUAAAGCCGGCAUUCCUGGAAUCUCUGCCAACGCGGCCAGACCAAGCAGAAGCAUCAACACCCACGCCGGUCCCAGCGAUGAGAACGUACCCGCCUGCCAAAAGUAACAAAACCGUCCGGUUUGCAACUUAAAUACUAGGUUAUUAAGAAGGAAGGUAGUAUGAAGACUACUUUCGUAAUAUGCCUGCGCAAUACGCCAGUCCAAUCCGAGCCAAUUACUGCGUCCUAAUGACGUCUUAUUUUUAUACAUAUCUAUCUAUACUUAUCUAUCUAUAAUAGAUUAAGUCUAUGUUAAGACCAUAAUCUUUCUCCUAAAGAGAGACUCUUGUUCUGCGCAGCGUGCUUAGUCGUUCGUUUCCAAAGAUUAACUCGUGAUAUUCCUUGUGAUAUUUGUAUUAAGCAGUAAUAAAGUUAUAUUCAUAUAUAUAUAUAUAU